CCAAAAGCAGUGUGCGACCGAAAGCUUGUCUGCAGCCCAACGAGCUGAUCAGGGUAGCACUGUGGCUGUCUAACAGAUGGGCUGACCAUGCAGGAAGUCCCCAGAUGGAGGCACUGUUGACAUGAAGACAGUCAGACCUCAGAAGUAGAAACUGAAGGGACGAACGGGGAUUCGAACCCUGAAGCUCAGCGUUCCAAGCUUUGGACAAUACCUUUACGCCACCAUCAUGUUAGCGGUUGCGCGGCUGCAGAAAUGGCCUGAUGAUGAGACAACCCAAGUAUAAGCGAAACAAAGACGAAGGGGGGUUUGAACCCCCAACCUCUGCGUCCGUAGGCAAAGACAAUACCGUUGCGCCACCUUCUCUUCUGUGAAUCGGCCGGCUCUUCUGUGGGUAGAAGAAGAUGACACAACAGAAAUAUUUCCAAAAAAAAAAAAAAAAAGCUGGAACCCCCCCGGCUGUGGCUGGCUCAAAUCUGCUGGGCGUGAUGCAAUGCAAUGGGCUUCGUGGAAUAGGGUACUCUGUCUUGCGCCACGAAACCCUUCAAGAAUUCCUGGGUGCUCAUCAGUGAACUUAUUCUCAGACCCAUCAGAAAUAAACAGGAAGAGCUCAGCUUUGAAUCACACAGAUCCAGAUUAGGUGCUCUCCUAAAAUGAACUCUAAGAAACUGUGGCAAAAUAUAAACUGACACCCUAACACAUUUUGGCUUCUUUAAAUAAAGCUGUUGAUUCAUUGAAGGAA